CCACGUUUUCGUUUCCGUGAAUACAACGCAGUUUGUUGUAAUUAUGAUCAUUUACAAGUUCAUGUUUAACCCAAGACUAAGAUGUAUGCAUUUCAUGUGUCAAACGUUUCAGCUACGAGAUUAAAUGGACCAUUCUUACAAGGAUAUACAGAUAAAGACAGUCAAAAUGAUAAAAGGAAACCGUGAAACUUCAUUAGUGUGGCUAAGUAAAUACGACGUCUGGUGAUCGGUGUUUUUAACAACUAUAUCAGAAGAUCAAAUUUAUGAAAUUGGAUUAUUAGCUUCUUACCGGAUUCUGGCAGAGGAGACGUUGACACAAGAAAUACCAGUUCCCCGUACGGAUGACCUGUUGCAGAACCCGGACUACCUCUCAGCUCCGCAUACAUGGCUUUACUGCCUUUGACUAUGUACAAAUCAAGGAGCGUUGCUGAAAAACGGAAUAGCUUCUUACCGGAUUCUGGCAGAGGAGACGUUGACACAAGAAAUACCAGUUCCCCGUACGGAUGACCUGCUGCAGAACCCGGACUACCUCUCAGCUCCGCAUACAUGGCUUUACUGCCUUUAACUAUGUACAAAUCAAGGAGCGUUGCUGAAAAACGGAAUAGCUUCUUACCGGAUUCUGGCAGAGGAGACGUUGACACAAGAAAUACCAGUUCCCCGUACGGAUGACCUGCUGCAGAACCCGGACUACCUCUCAGCUCCGCAUACAUGGCUUUACCGCCUUUAACUAUGUACAAAUCAAGGAGCGUUGCUGAAAAACGGAAUAGCUUCUUACCGGAUUCUGGCAGAGGAGACGUUGACACAAGAAAUACCAGUUCCCCGUACGGAUGACCUGCUGCAGAACCCGGACUACCUCUCAGCUCCGCAUACAUGGCUUUACCGCCUUUAACUAUGUACAAAUCAAGGAGCGUUGCUGAAAAACGGAAUAGCUUCUUACCGGAUUCUGGCAGAGGAGACGUUGACACAAGAAAUACCAGUUCCCCGUACGGAUGACCUGCUGCAGAACCCGGACUACCUCUCAGCUCCGCAUACAUGGCUUUACCGCCUUUAACUAUGUACAAAUCAAGGAGCGUUGCUGAAAAACGGAAUAGCUUCUUACCGGAUUCUGGCAGAGGAGACGUUGACACAAGAAAUACCAGUUCCCCGUACGGAUGACCUGCUGCAGAACCCGGACUACCUCUCAGCUCCGCAUACAUGGCUUUACCGCCUUUAACUAUGUACAAAUCAAGGAGCGUUGCUGAAAAACGGAAUAGCUUCUUACCGGAUUCUGGCAGAGGAGACGUUGACACAAGAAAUACCAGUUCCCCGUACGGAUGACCUGCUGCAGAACCCGGACUACCUCUCAGCUCCGCAUACAUGGCUUUACCGCCUUUAACUAUGUACAAAUCAAGGAGCGUUGCUGAAAAACGGAAUAGCUUCUUACCGGAUUCUGGCAGAGGAGACGUUGACACAAGAAAUACCAGUUCCCCGUACGGAUGACCUGCUGCAGAACCCGGACUACCUCUCAGCUCCGCAUACAUGGCUUUACCGCCUUUAACUAUGUACAAAUCAAGGAGCGUUGCUGAAAAACGGAAUAGCUUCUUACCGGAUUCUGGCAGAGGAGACGUUGACACAAGAAAUACCAGUUCCCCGUACGGAUGACCUGCUGCAGAACCCGGACUACCUCUCAGCUCCGCAUACAUGGCUUUACCGCCUUUAACUAUGUACAAAUCAAGGAGCGUUGCUGAAAAACGGAAUAGCUUCUUACCGGAUUCUGGCAGAGGAGACGUUGACACAAGAAAUACCAGUUCCCCGUACGGAUGACCUGCUGCAGAACCCGGACUACCUCUCAGCUCCGCAUACAUGGCUUUACCGCCUUUAACUAUGUACAAAUCAAGGAGCGUUGCUGAAAAACGGAAUAGCUUCUUACCGGAUUCUGGCAGAGGAGACGUUGACACAAGAAAUACCAGUUCCCCGUACGGAUGACCUGCUGCAGAACCCGGACUACCUCUCAGCUCCGCAUACAUGGCUUUACCGCCUUUAACUAUGUACAAAUCAAGGAGCGUUGCUGAAAAACGGAAUAGUCUGAAUGUGUCUUUGAAGAUGAGGCUACUGGGUACCUACAGUCUUGAAAAAUGGCUCCUAUUCAGUGGGAUGUUACCCAAGAAAAGACUUUUGAUGGGUUAUGUAAAACCGAAGUAGUAACAGUUGUGCAGACAGAACUGUUCAGCUGGAAGGAUGACUGUGAAGCAAGCAUUUAAUUACUGGCACCAGGUUCAGGAACAGCUUCACCUUACAAGAACUGAGUGUUAUGAUCUAGUUGUUUGGACAACAAGAGACUAACAGAUCAUGCGAUAGUGAAAGAUAACUUGUGGUCUACAAACAUGUCAACCAUUAUUGUAUUCAACUUCCCUUUAGUCUUACCAUCACUUUAAAGAUAGGACUGAGAACUGUGAAAUGACAACUUUAUUUGCCGAACUUGCAUUUGAUUGAUACGAAGUUGUGUGUUGGGUUGAGCCCUGACAUGUUAUCUAAUUUUCAUCGAGCAAUAAUCUUCUUGAUGCUUCUGUACAUGUGUAUGCAUUUAUAAUCUGAAGGAGCUUCAAUGCAGUAUUUUUAAUAUACUAGUGUUUUACCAAACUCAAAUACGUAUAUUAAAAUUGUGGUGAAAUAUGUCGACAUUAAAAUGUUUAUGUUUAUAGUUACCAUGGGUACUUUAGAUUAGUUGAACAAUAUUAUGACAAAUAUUAACGUUUUGUCGUCAUUUUGCAUACAUAUGAAAAGGAGUUUAGCAAAACAAAUAAAUGGGGAAACAUUA